CGCGUGCCACCACAGCGUGCCCUCUUGCCCGGUCACGUUGAAGCGGUACGCGUAGGAGCUGUUGGGCUGGAUCGGGCACUGGGUCACCAUGCUCGGACCGUCCGCCCAUGGCGUCAGUAACUGGAGCAUCCCAUGCCUGUCAAUUUCAGUUCCCAGAAACCCACCCAAUCACACACGGUUAGACACAGGUCAUAGCCGUCCUUGCCAGCGGGAAAAGACCGUGCGAAAGGCUGUAAACCGUUGCUUUUGCCCUAGUAGAUUAAUGCUAUAAUAUUUGCUGCUGCUACUUUCUUGUGUCAUCUUCUUUUUGGCAAGGUUUUGUUGUAAAACUUGUAAUGGGACUUCGUCGCCUCUGCACCCGGCGAGUAUCACGAUGAGCUCUCCAAAAGCUAGCUGCUGUCCCUCUGACAGCUGGACACCUCAAGCAUCCAACGAAGUAGCUAGAUGACAGGUCCCUCACGCCAUCUACAAGUUACAAACGGCUGGAUGUUUCUUUCUCAAAAGGAAGAAGCAGCACAGAAAGUUUCAGAGACUGGAAUAGUUUUCUAGUUCAGGAAGUACCAGGAUUUUACCAGUGGAUGGUUAAGUUGUAUGGCGACCCGUUGGUUACAUUGACGACAACCUCGUCGCCGUCGUUCACCUCUAUCGUUGGCCCAGGCAGUUGGCCGUUCACCGCAAUGAUGUCAGUGCUGUUGCACAGCCGAUUAACUCGCAUGCUCGCCACCUAACAACAGCAUUACAGAGGAAACAGUAGUCAGACACGGGUCCCUACUGGGUUGCAUGCAGGUUAAGAGAUUUCAUUGGCAUGCAUAUGCAAGCAGAGGAAACUUAUACAACUUUCUCUGCAUUUUCAGGUGUAUAUAUAGAGAGAGAGUUAUCUUGUUUCCCACACACAAGUUGAUUCUGAAUUUCUGAUAGCUAGACAGUGUAAGUACUUGAGUAUAAACUGGGCAUGGGCAUGGCCAAGUUUCUCUUGUCAUGAAAACCUUCUAUGAACUGAAUGAACAAAGCUCGUAUGCAUAUAAACAAGUUGGAGAUUAGUACUGUGAAUGUGUAGUUCGCAGUUGCGGCAUCUGCCACCGAACUGGCGGCAAGGAGAAGCACGGACGCCAACCACAAAAGCUGCGCCAUGGAAGAACACCAAGGUCGUCGAAGACGAAGAGGUUAAAUCAGCAGUGUCAGAGAGGAAAGCUAGGCAGUUUCAAAGGCAAAUCUUUGUUGGCGAUCUUGGGCGGGCAACUUGUAUAGCUUAGUUUCUAGGAAACACGAUAAGUAUAUAUACUAUAGGGAUGCUUUUGGCA